GUGGGGAAUAUUGGACAAUGGGCGAAAGCCUGAUCCAGCCAUGCCACGUGUGUGAAGAAGGUCUUCGGAUUGUAAAGCACUUUAAGUUGGGAGGAAGGGCAGUAAGUUAAUACCUUGCUGUUUUGACGUUACCGACAGAAUAAGCACCGGCUAACUUCGUGCCAGCAGCCGCGGUAAUACGAAGGGUGCAAGCGUUAAUCGGAAUUACUGGGCGUAAAGCGCGCGUAGGUGGUUUUGUAAGUUGGAGGUGAAAUCCCCGGGCUCAACCUGGGAACUGCCUCCAAAACUGCAUGACUAGAGUACGGUAGAGGGUAGUGGAAUUUCCUGUGUAGCGGUGAAAUGCGUAGAUAUAGGAAGGAACACCAGUGGCGAAGGCGACUACCUGGACUGAUACUGACACUGAGGUGCGAAAGCGUGGGGAGCAAACAGGAUUAGAUACCCGUGUAGUCC
rnacentral:rRNA from 1 species